rnacentral:rRNA from 1 species
AUUGAACGCUGGCGGAAUGCUUUACACAUGCAAGUCGAACGGCAGCAUAGGUGCUUGCACCUGAUGGCGAGUGGCGAACGGGUGAGUAAUACAUCGGAACGUGCCCAGUCGUGGGGGAUAACGUAGCGAAAGUUACGCUAAUACCGCAUACGAUCUACGGAUGAAAGCGGGGGACCGUAAGGCCUCGCGCGAUUGGAGCGGCCGAUGUUAGAUUAGGUAGUUGGUGGGGUAAAGGCUCACCAAGCCGACGAUCUAUAGCUGGUCUGAGAGGAUGAUCAGCCACACUGGGACUGAGACACGGCCCAGACUCCUACGGGAGGCAGCAGUGGGGAAUUUUGGACAAUGGGCGCAAGCCUGAUCCAGCCAUUCCGCGUGCAGGACGAAGGCCUUCGGGUUGUAAACUGCUUUAGUACAGAACGAAAAGCCUUGGGUUAAUACCCUGGGGUCAUGACGGUACUGUAAGAAUAAGCACCGGCUAACUACGAAAGG